CAUCGGUCGUAUGUUUGGGCUUAGGGGCUNGAGNACGUGGCGCGCAUACUAGNNNUUUUUUUUUUUUUCCCCCUGCNNCCGUUGAAACUAGUAUAUCAAUAAGCGGAGGAAAGAAACCAACAGGGAUUGCUCAGUAACGGCGAGUGAAGCGGCAACAGCUCAAAUUUGAAAUCUGGCUCUUUUAGAGUCCGAGUUGUAAUUUGUAGAAGAUGCUUUGGGUGUGGCUCCGGUCUAAGUUCCUUCGGAACAGGACGUCAUAGAGGGUGAGAAUCCCGUAUGUGACUGGCUGCCUCCGCCCGUGUAAAGCUCUUUCGACGAGUCGAGUUGUUUGGGAAUGCAGCUCAAAAUGGGUGGUAAAUUUCAUCUAAAGCUAAAUAUUGGCCAGAGACCGAUAGCGCACAAGUAGAGUGAUCGAAAGAUGAAAAGCACUUUGGAAAGAGAGUUAAACAGUACGUGAAAUUGUUGAAAGGGAAGCGCUUGCAAUCAGACUUGCGCGCGGCCGAUCAUCCGGGGUUCUCCCCGGUGCACUCGGCCGCGCUCAGGCCACAUCGGUUUCGGUGGUGGGAUAAAGGCCUUGGGAAUGUAGCUCCUCUCGGGGAGUGUUAUAGCCCUCGGUGCAAUGCCGCCUAUCGGGACCGAGGACCGCGCUUCGGCUAGGAUGCUGGCGUAAUGGUUGCAAGCGACCCGUCUUGAAACACGGACCAAGGAGUCUAACAUUUAUGCGAGUGUUUGGGUGUUAAACCCAUACGCGUAAUGAAAGUGAACGGAGGUGAGAACCCUUAAGGGUGCAUCAUCGACCGAUCCUGAUGUCUUCGGAUGGAUUUGAGUAAGAGCAUAACUGUUGGGACCCGAAAGAUGGUGAACUAUGCCUGAAUAGGGUGAAGCCAGAGGAAACUCUGGUGGAGGCUCGCAGCGGUUCUGACGUGCAAAUCGAUCGUCAAAUUUGGGUAUAGGGGCGAGAGACUAAUCGAACCAUCUAGUACCUGGUUCCUGCGAGUUNCCCUANNAAAAAAAAAAAAAACAACCCCCUAAAAUGGGUUUAAAUAACCUUUCCCCCUUUCCCAAUUUUAAGAAUGAAUU
rnacentral:rRNA from 1 species